GACGAACGCUGGCGGCGUGCUUAACACAUGCAAGUCGAACGGAAAGGCCCUGCUUUUGUGGGGUGCUCGAGUGGCGAACGGGUGAGUAACACGUGAGUAACCUGCCCUUGACUUUGGGAUAACUUCAGGAAACUGGGGCUAAUACCGGAUAGGAGCUCCUGCUGCAUGGUGGGGGUUGGAAAGUUUCGGCGGUUGGGGAUGGACUCGCGGCUUAUCAGCUUGUUGGUGGGGUAGUGGCUUACCAAGGCUUUGACGGGUAGCCGGCCUGAGAGGGUGACCGGCCACAUUGGGACUGAGAUGCGGCCCAGACUCCUACGGGAGGCAGCAGUGGGGAAUAUUGCACAAUGGGCGGAAGCCGGAUGCAGCAACGCCGCGUGCGGGAUGACGGCCUUCGGGUUGUAGACCGCUUUCGCCUGUGACGAAGCGUGAGUGACGGUAAUGGGUAAAGAAGCACCGGCUAACUACGUG
rnacentral:rRNA from 1 species